rnacentral:rRNA from 1 species
AUUGAACGCUGGCGGCAGGCCUAACACAUGCAAGUCGAGCGGGGUUUUCGGACCUAGCGGCGGACGGGUGAGUAAUGCGUAGGAAGCUACCCGAUAGAGGGGGAUACCAGUUGGAAACGACUGUUAAUACCGCAUAAUGUCUACGGACCAAAGUGUGGGACCUUCGGGCCACAUGCUAUCGGAUGCGCCUACGUGGGAUUAGCUAGUUGGUGGGGUAGUGGCUCACCAAGGCGACGAUCCCUAGCUGGUUUGAGAGGAUGAUUAGCCACACUGGAACUGAGAAGCGGUCCAGACUCCUACGGGAGGCAGCAGUGGGGAAUAUUGUACAAUGGGCGCAAGCCUGAUCCAGCCAUGCCGCGUGUGUGAAGAAGGCCUUCGGGUUGUAAAGCACUUUCAGUAGGGAGGAAGAGUUGAGUGUUAAUAGUACUCAGCUUUGACGUUACCUACAGAAGAAGCACCGGCUAACUCUGUGCCAGCAGCCGCCGUAACAC